GUCCUACGGGACGCAGCAGUGGGGAAUAUUGCACAAUGGGGGAAACCCUGAUGCAGCGAUGCCGCGUGGAGGAAGAAGGUUUUCGGAUUGUAAACUCCUUUUAUCAGGGACGAUAAUGACGGUACCUGAAGAAAAAGCUCCGGCUAACUACGUGCCAGCAGCCGCGGUAAUACGUAGGGAGCGAGCGUUGUCCGGAAUAACUGGGCGUAAAGGAUGCGUAGGCGGUUAAACAAGUUAUAUGUUAAAUAUAUAGGCUUAACCUGUAGAAAGCAUAUAAAACUGUUUAACUAGAGUGCAGGAGAGGG
rnacentral:rRNA from 1 species